rnacentral:lncRNA from 1 species
ACCGAUGUUGAUUAUAGAAUGAAAAUCAUUAUUUAAAUACAAAAAAAAUAUUUACUUCCAGACAUGUGGUUAUUACAACAUGUAUCCAUAUACCAAACAUUUAGUUCAGGUUCCUUUUCAACUUAAACUGCCAUAAAAAAGGUCUAUCCUUCCUUGUUUUCAACAAAAUGUGAUUGUUCAUCAUUAUCACUUGGUAGCCUAACAUAACAUUCAAAAUAAUAAUGACCAAACUAUUGACAUUUGAAGAAUUUUAUAUUGGAUUUAUCAAAAUCUUGUCCUUUUCCUUUAAUUUGGUUAUCAUUGAUUUUGUAAUUCCUGCUAUCAUUUUUUUUGCCAUCAUCUCUACUACCUUGAUCUCCACUUCCUCUACCUAUAACUCUACAUUUACCCCUUCCUCUAAAAUUAGAAGAAGAAAUAAAAGUAGAAGCCUUCAAAGCUUGUUCCUCGGAGGCUGAAUUACGAUUCAUCUUUUGCUCAUGUACCAACAAAGAGCUUUGCAUCUCAUCAAGAGAUAAUUUAUCUAUGUUUGUUUUACUUUUCAAUGGCGUAAAUGACAUAAUCAAACUUCAGCAUUAUGGAGCGCAAAAUAUUCUCCAAUAUGGUGACAUCCUCCAUCUUUUCACCAUAGAUCUACAUCCUGUUACAAAUCACCAUGGUUCUACUAGCACAAUAGCUAGUGACCAUCAAAAUAGGGAAUGACUACUUGAACAAAACUACUUUUUUGAGGCCAUAGGUGAAACCUUUUAUAGGCUAACAAGAACAAACUUGACUCUGAUAUCACUAUUGCACUUACAAGUAGAGAAAAAGAGAAAAAUGAGCUUUUAACUCAAAUGAGAGAAAAUGAU